rnacentral:lncRNA from 1 species
UUAUCAUAAAAUAGAUGUUCAAAUAUCAUUUCUCUUUUGAAUUUCCAAUACAUACAUUUAUAGUGUACUAUUGUAUAAUAAUAGUUGUAUAAUGUAUAUGUUGGUUGCCUUUGUAUUACAACUUUUCACUUCCUCUUUUUUCUCUAUCAACCUUAAUUAGUAGUAAUAUUUUACGCUAUCUAUUCCCACCCCUACAUGUACAAGGUAAAAAAAUCCCAAAGUAAACUUACUUGUAAGUUGUAAUCAAGGUGUAAUCAAACCCAAAACCUCACAAAUCGAAAAAGAAAAGCAAAAACAACAAUGGCAACCACCAUAAUAAUCAUAUCCAUAACCCUCUCUCUCCUCAACUUUUUCUCUCUCCUCUCUCUCUUCCUCCCACAAAACUCCUCAAACCUCUUCUUCUCUCUGUCAAUAUCCACUUUCCACCUCUCACCCUUCUCCAUAGCCCCAACCAAAAUCCCCAAACUAUCCCUCCCAAUCAAAUGUCUUCCAUCCAUAUCCUCCAUACUAAAACUCACCCCAGUCACGUGCAUCUCACCCCCAACUUUCCCACAGCACGUGACCUUCACCAUACACUGCACCAUUCCCAUUACCGUACCAUAUAAAACCUCUAACUCCCCCGUAAGCCAAUGUCUUCUAACUGUUACCGGUAACCGGCUUGACAAGUUAACCGAACGCUUACGUGUCGGUUCAAUAAUAAUCCAACUAAGACUCAAAUUUUGUUCUAACCAUUCAACGACGUCGUUUUGUUCAAACUUAAUAUUUGUUUCAAUAAUUUCAUUUGGUUCUAGAAUUUCAAUCCAUAGAGGUGAACAAAGAAACCAUCCUUUAUGUGUUUCUGUUCUUAGAAGCUUUGAAAAGACAGGUCUGCCCUUGUAAUAUAAAUCAACUGCGGAGAAUAAUUCCUUCGGAGCAGAUAAAGCCAAUGAAGAUGAAGAAGAAGUAUCUGAAGAUGAAGAUGAAUAAUGGAUGGACGGGAAGGAGUCGGAGAAGAUGGAGCGAUGAGAGGAUGGGAAGGUGGAGAUGAGUGACGUGGCGGAGGGGUUAUUGAGAGAUGGCCAUGUGGAGGUGAUGAUUUUUUGCCAUAGGUGGUGUUCUGUGCAGAGGUUGUGAAGGUGGGUGGCGGUGGAGGAGACGGAGGUGAGUGAUGUGCCGUCAAGUCGGGAGAGGAUGUGGGAUUGGAGUAUGUAGGGGUGGAUGGUGGUGAUUGGUGAAUCCAUAAAUGAAUAUGUAUGUUAUUAGGUUGAUAGUUUGUGUUGGAAUAUUGGAAGGGUUUUAGGAGGAAAAGGAUGAAGAUUUUGUGUUGUGUGAGAAAUGAAAGUGUGGAGAGGGGAAGAGAUGUGUGGGUUUUAUAUAGGUGGAUAGUAUAUUGAUUUACUGUAGUAGUGUGAGAACUCCCCUUCUUCACUUGUGUGAUUUUUAAAUAGCUAUUUUGUAAAUUGUUUACGAAUAAUACUUACUCAUUGUAAAAAAAAAAUAUGGUGAUAGGUGGUGAGGGAUUAGGAAAGGGACGUUAUUUGCGUGUUCAGUGGCAAAUACAAACAAUUUGAGGAAAUAAUGUAGUCAAGAGUCAAGAGUGGCUGUUAAUUAGUUUAGUUUAG